rnacentral:tRNA from 1 species
CCGUAGCUCAGUGGCAGAGCAAUCGACUGCAGAUCGAUAGGUCCCCGGUUCAACUCCGGGUGGG